GAAUCUUCCGCAAUGGACGCAAGUCUGACGGAGCAACGCCGCGUGAGUGACGAAGGUUUUCGGAUCGUAAAAUUCUGUUGUGAGGGAAGAAAACGUACCAGGUAACUACUGGUACCGUGACGGUAACUCACCAGAAAGCCAUGGCUACCUCAGUGCCAGCCGCCGCGGUCAUACGUCGGUGGCAAGCGUUUGCCGUCAUUAUGGGUCGUAAAUCGCGCGCAGUCGGUCCGUGAAUUCUGAUGUGAAAGCCCACGGCUAAACCGUGGAGGUUCAUGGGAAACUGGAGGACUUGAGUGCAGAAGAGGAAAGUGGAAUUCCAUGUGUAGCGGUGAAAUGCGUAGAGAUGUGGAGGAACACCAUUGGCGAAGGCGACUUUCUGGUCUGUAACUGACGCUGAGGCGCGAAAGCGUGGGGAGCAAACA
rnacentral:rRNA from 1 species